AUGUGCUAUGUCUGGAGAAGCAUUCUGAAGGGAGUGGAAGUCUUGAAAGCUGGUUUAAUAUGGAUAAUUGGGGAUGGUUCGAAGGUCAUAAUAUGGGACGACCCAUGGAUCCCCUGCGGUGACACUCGCAGGCCAUCGUCUCCGCAAGGGCAAGCCCUUUUGACCCGUGUCUCAGAGCUAAUCGAUCCCGGUGUAGGGAGGUGGGAUGAGAAUCUGGUGAGAGAUUGUUUUCGGCCGGAUGAUGUGCAGGUAAUUUUGAGUAUUCCAUUAUGUGAACAAGCGAAGGAUUUUUUGGCUUGGCACUAUGACUCCAAAGGAGCCUUCUCUGUGAAAUCUGCAUAUAAAGUACAUGUUAACUUGAUCAAGAAUGAAGCCACAAAACAGACUGGAGAGGGGUCUAUACCUAAUGUGCAAGUUUCUGAUUUUCUUGGAUCAAUCUCGAAGGUCAAAUGUCCUCCUAGAGUGCACCACUUCAUUUGGAGGUUGGCUCACAAUAGUCACUCAAUGUACAUGAACAUCAACAAAAGAGGUGUGGAGCUGGAUACUAGAUGUGCAGUCUGUGCGAAAUUGUUUGAGGAUGGUGGCCAUAUGUUUUUCAAGUGCAACCUAGUCAAACAGAGAUGGAGGGCACUGCUUCUUGAGGAGGAGUGUUACCAGCUAUCUAUGCUCAAUUCGACAAGAGAAGUUGUGCAGGCUAUUCUAAAACUCCCCGAGGAAAAGAAACUUUUGAUCAUAGCCUUUCUCUGGCUCUGGUGGACAGAUCGAAACCAUGGUAACCAUGGAGAGAGGAGGCAAAGUGUUGAAGAAUUCUAG
rnacentral:rRNA from 1 species